UACGAAGGGGGCUAGCGUUGUUCGGAAUUACUGGGCGUAAAGCGCACGUAGGCGGACAUUUAAGUUGGAGGUGAAAGCCUUGGGCUCAACCCAAGAAUUGCCUUUGAUACUGGAUGUCUCGAGACCGGGAGAGGUGAGUGGAAUUCCGAGUGUAGAGGUGAAAUUCGUAGAUAUUCGGAAGAACACCAGUGGCGAAGGCGGCUCACUGGCCCGGUUCUGACGCUGAGGUGCGAAAGCGUGGGGAGCAAACAG
rnacentral:rRNA from 1 species